rnacentral:rRNA from 1 species
AGUGAACGCUGGCGGUAGGCCUAACACAUGCAAGUCGAACGGCAGCACAGUAAGAGCUUGCUCUUACGGGUGGCGAGUGGCGGACGGGUGAGGAAUACAUCGGAAUCUACUUUUUCGUGGGGGAUAACGUAGGGAAACUUACGCUAAUACCGCAUACGACCUACGGGUGAAAGCAUGGGAUCUUCGGACCUUGCGCGAUUGAAUGAGCCGAUGUCGGAUUAGCUAGUUGGCGGGGUAAAGGCCCACCAAGGCGACGAUCCGUAGCUGGUCUGAGAGGAUGAUCAGCCAGACUGGAACUGAGACACGGUCCAGACUCCUACGGGAGGCAGCAGUGGGGAAUAUUGGACAAUGGGCGCAAGCAUGAUCCAGCCAUACCGCGUGGGUGAAGAAGGCCUUCGGGUUGUAAAGCCCUUUUGUUGGGAAAGAAAAGCAGCAGGUUAAUACCCCGCUGUUCUGACGGUACCCAAAGAAUAAGCACCGGCUAACUUCGUG